GACGUAGGGGGCGAGCGUUGUUCGGAUUUACUGGGCGUAAAGGGCGCGUAGGCGGCCAGCACAAGUCAGUUGUGAAAUCUCCGGGCUUAACUCGGAAAGGUCAACUGAUACUGUGCGGCUAGAGUGCAGAAGGGGCAACUGGAAUUCUCGGUGUAGCGGUGAAAUGCGUAGAUAUCGAGAGGAACACCUGCGGCGAAGGCGGGUUGCUGGGCUGACACUGACGCUGAUGCGCGAAAGCCAGGGGAGCGAACGGG
rnacentral:rRNA from 1 species